AGGGUUGUGGCUCAGUGGUGGAGCGCUUGCCUGGCAUGUGAGAAGCCCUGGGUUCCAUCCCCAGCAUCACAU
rnacentral:tRNA from 1 species